AGAGUUUGAUCCUGGCUCAGAUUGAACGCUGGCGGCAUGCCUUACACAUGCAAGUCGAACGGUAACAGGUCUUCGGAUGCUGACGAGUGGCGAACGGGUGAGUAAUACAUCGGAACGUGCCCGAUCGUGGGGGAUAACGGAGCGAAAGCUUUGCUAAUACCGCAUACGAUCUACGGAUGAAAGCAGGGGACCGCAAGGCCUUGCGCGGACGGAGCGGCCGAUGGCAGAUUAGGUAGUUGGUGGGAUAAAAGCUUACCAAGCCGACGAUCUGUAGCUGGUCUGAGAGGACGACCAGCCACACUGGGACUGAGACACGGCCCAGACUCCUACGGGAGGCAGCAGUGGGGAAUUUUGGACAAUGGGCGAAAGCCUGAUCCAGCCAUGCCGCGUGCAGGAUGAAGGCCUUCGGGUUGUAAACUGCUUUUGUACGGAACGAAAAGACUCCUUCUAAUAAAGGGGGUCCAUGACGGUACCGUAAGAAUAAGCACCGGCUAACUACGUGCCAGCAGCCGCGGUAAUACGUAGGGUGCAAGCGUUAAUCGGAAUUACUGGGCGUAAAGCGUGCGCAGGCGGUUAUAUAAGACAGAUGUGAAAUCCCCGGGCUCAACCUGGGAACUGCAUUUGUGACUGUAUAGCUAGAGUACGGUAGAGGGGGAUGGAAUUCCGCGUGUAGCAGUGAAAUGCGUAGAUAUGCGGAGGAACACCGAUGGCGAAGGCGGGUCUCUGGGCAGUAACUGACGCUGAGGAGCGAAAGCGUGGGGAGCGAACAGGAUUAGAUACCCCGGUAGUCCAA
rnacentral:rRNA from 1 species